rnacentral:rRNA from 1 species
AUGGCUAAGUAUCUAUAUGGUUCUUUUGCCAUAUCAGUCUGCUUAACCCUGUCUUUUGUUGCUGCAACAACAAGAGAACCUUUUCGCCCAGAACCAUCUCGGAAGACCAGUGAGCCUUCUGUGUCAUACAGCCCACAGCCGCAACAUUUCCCAAACGAGCGGCUAUACCAAGCCUACCUCGUUAUCCAGCGCUUCAAGAGCAGCAUUUCUAGUGACCCGAAAAACAUCACCACGACCUGGUCUGGCCAUGAUAUCUGCGGGAGGAAAACCUACCUUGGGUUCCAUUGCGGGAGGACACCUGAACUGGCUAAGAACCUCACGAUCAUGGCGGUUGCUUUCAAUGAUUUUGGGCUGAGUGCGCCGAUGCUGCGAGGCUUCAUCGACCAGCUCCCCGACCUUGUGCUUUUUCAGGCUUCCUCCAACAAGUUUGGCGGUGGCAUCCCGCCCCUCGGCAGCCUUCAGUACCAGUACAAGCUAAGUAUCCAUGACGAUCGCCAUGAUUCAUUUUCUGAGAGCAAGUAUCUCCUCGGCACAAAUCUCGGACUGGGUCCUGUUAAUAUUGGUGUAAAGCUAGCUGUUGUCAAAACCCCCCGAAAGGGCACAAAUCUUAAUAGUGGUAGGGCGCUUCUCCUGAACAGCAACAGUUUAUCCGGGACACUACCUGCAAACUUGGGCUUCUCCAAGUUGAGCUACCUCGCCCUCGCCAACAACAAGCUCACCGGGGCAAUCCCGCCAUCAAUCGCGCACAUGCAAGACUCCCUCCUCGAGAUGCUCCUCCUCAACAACCAGCUCUCAGGCUGCCUCCCCAACGAGCUCGGCAUGCUCACCAAAACCGCCGUCAUCGACGCCGGGAUGAACCAGCUGACCGGCCCGAUCCCGUCAUCCUUCUCCUGCCUCAGCAGCGUCGAGCAGCUCAACCUCGCCGGGAACCGCCUCUACGGGCAGGUCCCCGACGCGCUCUGCAAGCUGGCCGGGCCGGCCGGCCGCCUCUCCAACCUCACGCUGUCGGGCAACUACUUCACCUCGGUCGGGACGGCGUGCUCGGCGCUGAUCAAGGACGGCGUGCUGGACGUCAAGCACAACUGCAUCCCCGGCUUCGCCAACCAGAGGGGCCUGGCGGAGUGCGCCACGUUCCUGAGCCAGCCCAAGACGUGCCCGGCGGCGAGCGCUCGCGUGGCGUGCCCCGCCGCGGACGCCAAGAUGAACACGGCGGCGCCGGAGGGGAAGGUGGCCAAGGACUACUCCAGCUACGUGGUGUACGCCACUCUGCAUGAGUGA